rnacentral:rRNA from 1 species
UACGAGUGCCCCAAGCGUUAUCCGGAAUUAUUGGGCGUAAAGGGUGUGUAGGUGGUCAUAUUAGUCUUCUGUUAAAGCUCUCGGCUCAACCGGGAACAUGCAGAGGAAACGGUAUGACUAGAGGACGUAAGAGGUAUGCGGAACUCAUGGUGUAGGGGUGAAAUCCGUUGAUAUCAUGGGGAACACCAAAAGCGAAGGCAGCAUACUGGUGCGUUCCUGACACUGAGACACGAAAGCGUGGGUAGCGAAUGGG